rnacentral:rRNA from 1 species
GUCUACAGCCAUACCAUCUGGAACACGCCCAAAUCUCAUCUGAUCUUGGAAAGCUCAGCUGGUGUGGGCCUAGUUAGUACUUGGAUGGGAGAAGGACAGGACAGUGAUAACU